rnacentral:tRNA from 1 species
GGAGAGAUGACAGAGUGGUUGAUUGUGACGGUCUCGAAAAUCGUUUCCGCAAAACUUAGUGGACGUGGGUUCGAAUCCCACUCUCUCCGCCA